CCGCUGCUACCGCCUCUUGUGUUCCUGUUCUGUCUUUCAUCCCUUUCGUCGCCACCACCGCGACCCCCACAUACUCAAUAUUCUUCUUCUUGCUCAAUAUUUUUUCCCCUCAAUGGAGGCCAAGGAAAGAGAGAUCAUUCUUUGCUAGGAAUCAUCCUUAUUAUGUCCUUAUUACAUGGAUUUUAUCUCGGUCCCAUCUUUUUGCCAUAUCUUUCCUUCCAUUGAUCCACUGUUGUCCUUUUUUCCCUGCUAAAAGUUCUGGGAUGGAGUUUUCAUUAGCUAGGGUUUAUUUACAACAACGAAUCUUGGAAGCUUUUCCCUUUUAAUUUCCUGUUCUUGACAGUAUGCCGGACCGUAGUUCUUCCUUUUUUUUGUUUUUUGUUGCUCUUGUUCAUUUUUUUGGCAAAUUGUUGUUUGAAUUUUCAGAGGGCCAAAUAUUUCGAGCUAGAAGGUCUGUCGAAUGAUCUGCAAGCAGCUGCGCACAGUCGUUGUUUGCGGGUGCAGCAUCAUCAAGAUUCACACAUGAUUUCACGGCAUAGACAUGAAUUUCGCUGACAGAGGUUCAGUAUUGAGAAUCUUGAUGAUGCUGCAUCAGCAAUCCAUGACUAGUUUUCCAUUAUCCACAGCCUUAGGUUAAUUUAUUGAGCGUUUCAAGAGGUGUAUCCAUGUGUAACUUCAGGGUCUUUUCUUCACCUCUGGAUAUAAAAGGCCUUAUUGGGCUGUAACUAUGUGCUUAUAUAUAUUUUUGUUCCUUUUGUCAUUUUCAAGUGAUUAAUUGAAUUAGUGCGAUGUUUUGUACAUUCACUAAUUAAUCGCAGCAAUGCCACAGCAGGUAGCAUGUGUAUACACAGAAGGAGGAUGUGCUCAGCCGUCAAGUGAUACUGAAGUUUCUUUGGCAUAAAAGGUCAGAUACUUACUAUCCUCUAAAAUCUGUGAGCAGUACCAUAGAUUAAUUAACCCAUGUUGCACAUAAUCUGUCCGACAAAUUCAGUGCCUUGGCAAAAUUUCGGCUUUUAUAUUGUAUGCAUAUAUGAGAUGAGAAAAAUGCAGUUUUGAUCGCUCGAUUACUGAUUUUAGGAUCUGCAACUGCAAGUGGUUGAAGCAUGGACCAAAUUGUGUUUAGAAUUGCAAGAUAACAUGAUCAUCAUCUUGAUUAAAUUCGAUUGGGUUGUUCCACCACAUAUUAUUAGGUGGAGCCAUUCCAUAUGAUGCUUCAUGCCUUCCUAUUGCCGGCAACGUUUGUUGAGCACAUCAAAAGCCUGUUCGAAACAAGAUUGGUUUUGCUAGGGGAUGGGAUUUGAAUGAUCUCACACAAGUAGCUCAACUUAUAGGAACUUGGAUAGAAUUUUUGUAUUUUGGAAUUGAAAUAUCUUCACAAUUGGAUGGGUUUAAUCUUUAAUGAAGAAAACUUAUUUCUUUUGCCUCAAGCUUUGCAGCUGCCGACUUCUAUAUCUUUAAAUCAAUGUCAACUGUGGUAGCAUGCUAUCACAUAGACAAUACGCAGCAACUGUCUUCUACAUAGAUAAAGGAGGAUCAGAAAAAUGACGGUUCCAAGAAACAAAUAUAAGAUGUAAUAUGGCAUCUUUUGGGAGGCACUAGGUUUUGUGAAGGGGGGAAAGAAGGAGAAGAAGAAGAAGAAGAAGAAGAAGAAGAAAGGGGGAAGAAGAAAAGUCCUCCCUUUGUGGCAAUUGACAGAUGAAAUUUUCCCCCUUGCUUGAGGUCCACACUUCACAUGGUGGGAAGGAGGAAAAAAGCAAUAAUGGAGUACAAUAGAGAGAUCGCACCAGAGAAUUAGUGUAAGACAGGAAGAUAUUUUUUCUGUGUACUUUCGGAAAUUAUGCGUGCGGAUUUUUGCGGACACUAUGAUUCUCGAAGCCUUUUGUGGAUUUGUUGUUACUUCUUUGUAUGUCACCGAUCCUCCUAAAAUGAGUUCACGCGGCGGUGGUGCGUUCCUAUAUACGAUUUGAAAAA